CAAAGGUUUGGUCCUAGCCUUCCUAUUGAUUAUUAACAGAAUUACACAUGCAAGUCUCUACACCCCAGUGAGAAUGCCCUCYAAAUCUAUAUGUUGAUUAAAAGGAGCGGGUAUCAAGCACACUAAAUUAGUAGCUCAUAACGCCUUGCUCAACCACACCCCCACGGGAUACAGCAGUGAUAAAAAYUAAGCCAUAAACGAAAGUUUGACUAAGCCAUGUUAACAAAGAGCUGGUAAAUUUCGUGCCAGCCACCGCGGUCAUACGAUUAGCCCGAAUCAAUAGGCAAACGGCGUAAAACGUGUUAAGGAUUAUAUUAUACUAAAGUUAAAAUUUGACAAGGCUGUAAAAAGCUACUGUUAAUAUAAGAUAAACCACGAAAGUGACUUUAUUACUUCCAUCAACACGAUAGCUGAGACCCAAACUGGGAUUAGAUACCCC
rnacentral:rRNA from 1 species